UCAAGUUCUACUAACCCUGGGUUUAUAUAACAUUACCUUAGGCUAUGUUUACCCUGCAAUUAGACCCCUGCAGCUGCUUUCUGCCAGCUGACUUGGUCUCCUGGACCUUGAAGGGUCUGUUUAAUUGUGGUGUAGCCAUUCAGAUAGCUGUGGGACCCUCCCACCUCACAAGGUCCUAGAGCUGUGGUUUUUAACCUGGGAUACACGCACUCCCUGAGGGUGCAAGAUGCCCUUUCUGGAGGUGCGAGGCAUGCCAGAUUUUUUUUAGAAAGCAAAUCAUCAAACACAAAUUAAGCACAGGCACAGUGUGCAUGUGACCUUCCUGCAGUCCUGUGCCUGAGAGAUGGCCUCAUGUUUGGGCACAAGCUAGGAAACACAGCUAGCAUCAAUGAAGUGGUGACACAGAAUCUACCCAAAUUGCUGAUAAAUGCAUCAAGUAAACAAACUGGUACUACAGAGGUGCGUGUGAGAUACAAAAUCUGCACAGAUGGAUGGAUCUAUCAUUGCAGGCUACUAGGCAAUGUUUCCUUGGAGCUGCCAAAAGACUGAGGUGCAAAAUUAAGUCUAGGCUUUAAACUGUAAUUCCAUGAAGAGACAACUGUUGAGUGACUGCAUCUAGUGUAAAGUGUGGCUACUGUGGUGAUGAGGCUAUGAAAUACCUCCAUGGAUGAAUGGCCUAGAGAUGAGAACCAUGAAGCAAAUAAAGAGGUGGUUCCAAAUGUUGUGGAAUCCUGUGUGUUAAGCUGAAGCUGAGGAAGUAAUGAUUGAUUACCAGCUCUUCAUGAGUCUGAGUUGUCCUUCACCUUUAACAGAUCUGCAGGACGAAAGAUUGAAGUGAAGCAGAACUACUCACUGGCUGCUCUAAGCAAGUAUACUCUUACCUCAUAAAAACUGUUGUUCUUUCUAAGUGUUGCUCAAGUUCAGUUCAUUUGAAGAACCACAGGUUGGAGUCAUAGUGAUUUGCGCAUUGGGGUGUUUUGUUCUUUUGUUUCUUUUUUGUAAAUCCAUUAUUACUCCAGAAAAUUGUGCCAUGUUAAUCCAUGUUAAUAACUGAGCAAUCCAAACUGGUCAUAGAUGAGCCAUCACAAGUGUAGACAUGUUAGUGUGUUGUCCUAAGUGUUCUGAUAGGUUUCAUUUUUGAUUGGAUUAGUCUUGCUGUUGUGAUUCUGAUUCAUGAUCAAUUUUGAUAUGUUUAGAGGCAAACAAGUGUAUUAAAAUAAGUUUCUGUUUCAGACAUUAAAAGUCCCGUCAGCGGUGCUGCCCAGCUAAGGCAGGCUAGUGCCUACCUGCCCCGACACCACACUGUGCCCUGGAAGCAGCCAGC